ensembl:misc_RNA Metazoa_SRP Metazoan signal recognition particle RNA
GCUGGGUGUGUUGGCACACACUUGUAAUCCUAGCUACUGAGGAGGCUGAGGCAGGAGAAUUGCUUGAACCCAGGAGGCAGAGGUUGCAGUGAGCCAAGAUCGUGCCACUGCACUCCAGCCUGGGUGACAGAGCAAGACUCUGUCUCAA